GGCCAGACUCCUACGGGAGGCAGCAGUGGGGAAUAUUGCACAAUGGGGGGAACCCUGAUGCAGCGACGCCGCGUGGGUGAAGGAGUAUUUCGGUAUGUAAAGCCCUAUCAGCAGGGAAGAACAAUGACGGUACCUGACUAAGAAGCACCGGCUAAAUACGUGCCAGCAGCCGCGGUAAUACGUAGGGGGCAAGCGUUAUCCGGAUUCACUGGGUGUAAAGGGAGCGUAGACGGCGACGCAAUGCUGGAGUGAAAGCCCGGGGCCCAACCCCGGGACUGCUCUGGAAACUGCGGCGCUGGAGUCCGGGAGGGGCAGGCGGAAUUCCUGGUGUAGCGGUGAAAUGCGUAGAUAUCAGGAGGAACACCGGCGGCGAAGGCGGCCCGCUGGACCGUGACUGACGUUGAGGCUCGAGAGCGUGGGGAGCAAACAGGAUUAGAUACCCCCGUAC
rnacentral:rRNA from 1 species